rnacentral:rRNA from 1 species
ACCCGCUGAACUUAAGCAUAUCAAUAAGCGGAGGAAAAGAAACCAACAGGGAUUGCCCUAGUAACGGCGAGUGAAGCGGCAACAGCUCAAAUUUGAAAUCUGGCGCAAGCCCGAGUUGUAAUUUGUAGAGGAUGCUUCUAGGUAGCGACCGGUCUAAGUUCCUUGGAACAGGACGUCAUAGAGGGUGAGAAUCCCGUAUGUGACUGGCCCGCACCUUCUACGUAGCUCCUUCGACGAGUCGAGUUGUUUGGGAAUGCAGCUCUAAAUGGGAGGUAAAUUUCUUCUAAAGCUAAAUACCGGCCAGAGACCGAUAGCGCACAAGUAGAGUGAUCGAAAGAUGAAAAGCACUUUGGAAAGAGAGUUAAAAAGCACGUGAAAUUGUUGAAAGGGAAGCGCUCACAACCAGACUUCUAGGCAGUGUUCCGCCGGUCUUUUGACCGGUCUACUCUCUGUCUCGAGGCCAACAUCAUCUGGGACCGCCGGAUAAGACCUUAGGAAUGUAGCUCCCCUCGGGGAGUGUUAUAGCCUCUGGUGAUGCGGCGCGUCUCGGGUGAGGUCCGCGCUUCGGCAAGGAUGUUGGCGUAAUGGUUGUCAGCGGCCCGUCUUGAAACACGGACCAAGGAGUCUAACAUCUAUGCGAGUGUUCGGGUGUCAAACCCCUACGCGUAAUGAAAGUGAACGGAGGCGGGAAGCGUAAGCUGCACCAUCGACCGAUCCUGAUGUCCUCGGAUGGAUUUGAGUAAGAGCAUAGCUGUUGGGACCCGAAAGAUGGUGAACUAUGCCUGAAUAGGGUGAAGCCAGAGGAAACUCUGGUGGAGGCUCGCAGCGGUUCUGACGUGCAAAUCGAUCGUCAAAUUUGGGUAUAGGGGCGAAAGACUAAUCGAACCAUCUAGUAGCUGGUUCCUGCCGAAGUUUCCCUCA